rnacentral:tRNA from 1 species
GCCUUCGUGGUGUAGUGGUCAGCACACCCGGCGCGUAUUCGAGAAGUCCGUGGUUCGAAUCCUGGCGAGGGCA